AUAAAUCCAAAUCCAAACUCAUAAAGACAGGAAGGCUGACUGACGUUCACAUAAACUAAUCACCCUCUGAUUUCCCAUUUGAGUGACAGGCAUGUCAGCCAAUGACAGCAGGGGUUAGUAUCAGGUUUGAGCUGCGACAGGCUGAAGGAAAUCGGCCCAUGAGCAGCCCCUCCUCUUCCGCUCCAUCGCCAUGGCGGAGAUCAGCGAGUCGCUUCUGUCGGUGUCGCCGGCCUCGGCGCCCACAAGGACGGGAGUGAUUCCCCUUCGCGCCUCGGUGGGUCUGUUUCGGUGACGUCUGUGGUGGCUGACGAAACAUGCUUUGACAGGGAGCGAGCGAGGACAAUGACUACAACUCCCAGAAGGCCCCACUGAUGACGUUGUGGUGUUGUUCAGGGCUUUCCCACCACAGAUGUAAGGCUCAAUGGUCUAUAAUUAUCGGGACUAUCCCUACUACCCUUUUUGAACAAGGGGACAACAUUCGCCUCCCUCCAAUACUCCGGUACAAUUCCCGAGGACAAUGAGGACAUAAUGAUCUUCACCAGAGGCUCAGCAAUCUAUUUCCUCGCUUCGGAUGCAGAACUGGGAAGCACAGAUGGAGUUCAACACAGAUGAAGAAGUUCAUUUCUGCAGGUCAAAUUCGAACACAGAAUAUAAUAUUAAUGUGAUCUUACUCCUGACGCCAGUCCCAGGACCCAACCCAUUUACAGACCCGGAGCGGAACCGGAGCAGAUCCUCAGCCACUGGUUUUCAUCCCCAGUCGCAAACUUUCCCACCACAGAUGUAAGGCUCAAUGGUCUAUAAUUAUCGGGACUAUCCCUACUACCCUUUUUGAACAAGGGGACAACAUUCGCCUCCCUCCAAUACUCCGGUACAAUUCCCGUGGACAAUGAGGACAUAAUGAUCUUCGCCAGAGGCUCAGCAAUCUAUUUCCUUGCCUCGGAUGCAGAACUGGGAAGCGCAGAUGGAGUUCACCACAGAUGAAGAGGUUCAUUUCUGCAGAUCAAAUUUGAACACAGAAUAUAAUAUUAAUGUGAUCUUACUCCUGACGCCAGUCCCAGGACCCAACCCAUUUACAGACCCGGAGCAUAACGGGAGCAGAUCCUCAGCCACUGGUUUUCAUCCCCAGUCGCAAAGUAAGGAUAAAGUUUCCGUGUGAAUUUAUUCCCAGUGAAGGUGUGGAGAUGGGACUUGGUUUCCGCGUUGUAAAAUGAAACUGUCCCGGACUCGUAACUGAGAUAAACUCCCACCCUCCCGGGGAUGGGACCGGCAGCGAGACGGGUCUCGGGGGAGGUACAAACCUUCAUCAUGUUAUUAUUCCGAAGUAACACGUCAUAAUACCGCCCAAUGACCCUGAAUCCUGUCUCCGGACUCAGUCCGACUCCUCUCUUCCCCUCCAACGACCCUGCGGUGACUCCUAAAUAACAGUCCCGAUUCCCCGUCACCUCCACCUCCCAGUCAUGUCUCCCAGCACACAACCCUGAUUUGUGAAUCUCUUCCCGGUGUCAGGGAGCUCUCUCCGGGUCCGGGUACAUCUCACACUCUUCCGAUCCUCAGACACCUCGAGAUCCGGAUUCGCCAUUUCCACAUCCAGGGUGACAGAGACUGGGGGGAGAAGCAGAGAAUUAGAGAGUCCCCGGGGAUCGGGGGGAGACUCGGGCAGCGCGUUUCCGGGGAUCGGGGAGAGACUCAGGCAGCGCGUCCCCGGGGAUCGGGGAGAGACUCAGGCAGCACUGCCCCAGAGAUUGGGGGAAUACUCGGGCAAAGUGUCCCCAGGACCAGUGGAAAGCCCGUGGGCCUUCGGCGCAGUCGGGUUGCCGAUCGGCAACCUUUCCCAGGGAAGCAUGUGGGCAACUAAUAUCUCUCCAAUAUCUUUCUGCUGGAUGGAGAGCAGAGAUUUCCUGAUCAAACAGACACAAAAUCCUGGAGGAACCGAGCGCGUCAGGCAGCAUGUGUGGAGAGAGAUGGACAGUCCACGUUUCAGGUCGACAUCUUCCCUCAAGAGCAGAAAUGAAUAGGGGAGAGAGACAGCAGAAAUGAGUGUGGGAAAGGGGUGGAUUAAGAUGGGAAGGGGGUGAGUGAAUGGAUUUAAACAGGUCGCAGAGGCUCUUCGGCCCAACUUGUUUGUGCCGACCAGCUUGCUUUAAUGAGCUGGUCCCAUUUGCCCAUUAUUCCUUUCCACCUUUGUUAUCCACGUCCCUGGCAAGAUGUAUUUUAAAACAUUGUCACUGUACCCAAUUCUACAGCUGAUCAAGAGCCCGGUGUACUAUACCAUGAAUUUUAGUGUCACCCACAAACCUACUAACUGUGUCAGCAACGUUCUGAUACAAAUCAUUAACAUGAAUGACAAACAACCCGUCCCCAGCACCGACCUCUGCAGGUCACAGGCCUCCAGUCCUCUGUGUUUAAGACACUUGGACAGACACUUCAACAGGCAAGGCAUGAGAGAGACUGACCUAAUGUUGGCCAAUGGGAUGAAUGUAGAUGGGUAAAUAGGUCAGCACGGAGGUGAUGGGUCAAAGGGAACAUUUCUAUGCUGUACGCAACGCCAUGCUGAUAAUUCCAAAUGGACAGUGACCCCUGACCUUUAACUCCUCAGACAGGGGAAACAUCCUCCCUGUAUCCUGCCUGUUGAUCCCUGAGAGAAUUUUGUAUUUCCCUGAGAUCUGCUCCCAUUCUUCUAAACAGGGAACAGAGAACACAGAACAGUACAGCACAAGAACAGGCCCUUCAUUCAAUGUUCACAUUCAUUGAGUGUGAAGUGGGAAGUUGAAGGUUCAAGAUAGUAAAGAAGGUGAUAAUGGGAACCAGUAGGGGAGAGAUGAACGGGGGAUUGAACCAGAACCAGGUGGGCGAGGGGUGGAAAGCCUGUGAGUGAACUGUGUGUGUAGACGUAACAAGAAGUUCGAGGGGAACAAAGAUGGGGGAUAAGUUUUCCUUUGUCCCCUUUCCCACAACCCAAUCACCCACAACCCCUCAUUAGGACACGGGAUGGAAAUGCACAGAUCCUUAAGCAAUACAGGUCCAGAUGAAGGGUUUCAGCCCAAGCCGUCGACUGUCUACUCUUUUCCAUAGAUGCUUCCUGUCCUGCUGAGUUCCUCCAGCAUUUUGUGCGUGUUAAUCUACAUUAAAUAUACUCAAUUAUUUGUCCUCUAUUCUCUGGCGAAAGGAAUUCCUCCUCGACUCUGUUCUAAAUGAGCAUCCUCCAGUCGGAGGCUGUGCCAUCUGGUCCUCGACCCACCCACAUCCCCCAGACAUCAACUCUCUCCAGACAGGAGACCAGGCAAGACCUUCAUCAGGACCUGUGUAGCUUGGAUUACCAGCAUCCGCAGAUUUUCAUCCUCCAGUCUGAGACUGUGCCAUCUGGUCCUCGACCCACCCACAUCCCCCAGACAUCAACUCUCUCCAGACAGGAGACCAGGCAAGACCUUCACCAGGACCUGUGUAGCUCGGAUUACCAGCAUCCGCAGAUUUUCUCAUGUGUGCAGGGUGCCGAAGCAGUUUAGAGGGCUUCACUGCCGCAUUAGACAGCCUCCAGGCCCGAACUCCAUCCUCGGCCGGCCCGCUGCCAGAUGCCUUGGCCAGGUGUGGCUGGUCAUGGGUGGGGUGUGAGGACAAGGUCAGGGCCGGAGGUCCCCGUGCCGGGGCCGCGGCGGUCGCAGUCUGGACAGAGCGACCGACCGAGAGGCCCGCGCCUGCGCCCUUUGUAGGAUCUAUCGACAGACAAAAGUUUGUUUCAGCAGAUCAUAGCGCGGUAGCUGCUCUGAUACUUGCGAAACCUUCAGCCCGAAUUAGGUUGUCUGUGAAUAUUUUAGCACCGGAUUCCCCAAGAAAAUUCGGUGUGCUAAACAAUUACAGCGGCGGCACCCAUCUGUCCGAGAUCGGGGCCAGUAGCAUUGGGUAUUCCCGCCAGCCACCUUUCGGGCUAGUAGCAUCGGCACUUCCCGCCGGCCGCGCGUUUAGGCGACUGAUGACCUUGCGUAGGUUCAAGUCCAACAGUAGCUGUGACAGGGAACGAGGAAAGGUGCAACUGACUCGCAUUGUUUCCUCGCGGCCCGGUGGUUGGGGACCACUGAAGUACACCGUCUGGGCACAGUGGAUUCUGAGUGGGCUGGGUGUAGGGAGAGAUGUGUUUGGUGGUAGAAUCUGGCUGGAGAUGGUGAAAGAUGUCAGGAUAAGUUGGAUAUAGAGGCUCGUGUUGCGGUUGUUCGGACUUUGGAGAUUCACUUGACGGUGGGGUCAGUAUCGAAUUCAGGCUGAUUUUACCGUGCACAUUUUAACAGCUUCUUUAAUCGGCAUGAAGUGGUGCUCUCUGUGUUCCUGCGCGUCUCUACAGAUCAGACAGAUCAAUGUCUUGUCCGUUUCACAAAACAGCUUCAGUUCUUCCUCAUGUUCCUCACAGUGACGUUUACUUUCCUUCCCUUUCGGAUUCAGGUUUAGAUUUCGAGCUUUUUCAGCCAGAUUUGCUAAGGCCCGAUUCACCCUGAGGGUGCGGUCAGCAAACACCUCUCUACAGUCCGGGCAGGAGUUUCUCUCCUCCCUUUCCCAAUACUUGUGAUACAAGAGCGACAGAAGUUGUGUCCACACUCCAGUAUAACCGGAUCGGUGAAGAAAUCCAGGCAGAUGGGACAAAUUACCUCCUCGGUCCAACUCUCGGUCUCUCCUUUCGAAGCCAUGUUAACUCCCGGCACUUCCUGAUUCAGAAUGCUUUCACUUUCGGGGAGCUGCUGAUCCCCUGCACGCUGCAGUGUCGGACACUGACCGUGGUUUUGCUGGAUGUGUUCAUUGGGGAAAAGUUUGGCUAUUUCCAUAUCAGGGUGGGAUCAGAAAAAUGUUAAAUAGGUGGGAACUGCAAAGAAAACGUGGCCCUGGACUGCCUAAGCCCGGCUGUGAAAGCAGGCGGGUUGGGCUUGUGAGAAAAAAAAAAUGCAACAGAAACGUCGACUGAAUCUCCAAAGGACUCAUCCCUGGAAUCAGAAGGACCAUCCCUGAAAUCAGAAGGACCGUCCCUCGGACCAGACGGACCGUCCCUGGGAUCAGAAGGACCGUCCCUCGGACCAGACGGACCAUCCCUGGGAUCAGAAGGACCAUCCCCUGGGAUCAGAACGACCAUCCCCGAGAUCAGACAGACCAUCCCCAGGAUCAGACGGACCAUCCCCGGGAUCAGACGGACCAUCCCCUGGGAUCAGAACGACCAUCCCCGGGAUCAGACGGACCAUCCCUGGGAUCAGAAGGACCAUCCCUGGGAUCAGACGGACCAUCCCCUGGAAGACGAUUGAGGUCGUGUGGUGAAAAAAGAAGCCACAGGGCCGAUCAACCCAGGCCCUGGAUUGGGGUCUCUGGCGAGCUGCUGUUGGCGACCCGUAGGCGUGGUGGGCUGAAGAAGAAGCAGAACAGAAAUGAAGCCAGAGAGAAGA